GGGGAAUAUUGGACAAUGGGCGCAAGCCUGAUCCAGCCAUACCGCGUGGGUGAAGAAGGCCUUCGGGUUGUAAAGCCCUUUUGUUGGGAAAGAAAUCCAGCCGGCUAAUACCUGGUUGGGAUGACGGUACCCAAAGAAUAAGCACCGGCUAACUUCGUGCCAGCAGCCGCGGUAAUACGAAGGGUGCAAGCGUUACUCGGAAUUACUGGGCGUAAAGCGUGCGUAGGUGGUCGUUUAAGUCCGUUGUGAAAUCCCACGGCUCAACCGUGGAACUGCCUUUGAUACUGCUUAGCUUGAAUCCGGGAGAGGGUGGCGGAAUUCCAGGUGUAGGAGUGAAAUCCGUAGAUAUCUGGAGGAACAUCAGUGGCGAAGGCGGCCACCUGGACCGGUAUUGACGCUGAGGUGCGAAAGCGUGGGGAGCAAACA
rnacentral:rRNA from 1 species